UAAUUUAGUAAGACAGUUUUUGACAGUUUUUUCAGAAGGCUACAGCAGUAGAUAACAUACAGACAAAGCUGUUAUAACAUUGGGGGGCAAAAUUAGGGUGGUUUAAAGAAGAAGGUAGUUUAUAAGUUUCACACAGGAGUUUCAAGGUGAGUGGUCCAGGUGAGGACAGUUCAGCUCCACACAGUCACUCAAAGACACAGGUUUCUUUCAUCAGGUUCCUCCACACCCUGGGGCUUGUCUUCAUCUGCAUGGUCAAGCCGAAUCUCAGCCACACAAGAACGGGAAGGAGUGGAUGUCCAGAACAAGUAAUCCUUUCUCAUAAAUGUAAAGACCUAAAUAAAUACUAAUGAAUGCCAAGAGGCUGGAUUCAGGGCUAUGCCCUUGGGAACAUCGUGGGACCAGAAGAGAAGGGAAGCAGUGCUCUUAAUGUUUCUGAAGGAGAGGAGAACAUUCAUUUUUCAUCCGUCAGCAGCAGAGAGGAAACUCCCCAAAUAAUUUAAAUCCUUAACUGGGACCACUUUAAGGAAAGAAUUGUCAACACAUGUUUGAUGUUUAGUAUUGAAAUUUGGAAGUUAAUCGGAUGAGUUCUAGUUGCUAAACUGCAUGAUAAGUUCAUGGGUACAGCCGCCAGUACAUAGUUGUGUAUUCCAGUUGUGAUGUGUCUCCGGUUGUGGCAUGUGGGAUGCCGCCUCAACAUGGCCCGACAAGUGGUGCCAUGUCCGCACCCAGGAUUCGAACUGGUGAAACUCUGGGCCGCUGAAGUGGAGUGCGCGAACCCAACAACUCGGCCAUGGAGCUGGCCCCUGGAAUAUUUUUAAAGAUGGUAUAAUUUUGAAAUAUUUUGAAGGGUGGUACCCUGUGCCAAUUAGUUUUGCAAUUUGCAGGCCAGAAUGAAGAAGAGGCCUUUCUCACUUCUUGUCACCUAGUUUAAUAGGGAGGUUUGGAAAAAUCCUGGGCUACCUUCACCAACCCCAAACUAGAAACUCUUCUGCAUCUUUAUCAUUUGAUGGUAUUUUCUCAAAUCAACCAGUAAGUAUGUACCCUAAUUUUCCUCUUAGCAAAUUCCUCAAAUAGUAGGCUCUUGGUUGUAUUUCCAGCUCUGAAUCUCAAAACCAAAGUAUAUGGAUCAGAAUGAAUUUAUCCACUUGUAACUAUUUCCAUUUCUUAAUAAAAUUGCUCCAAUUAAUUUCUUCUGGACUUGAAAUUGGAAAUGUUAUUAGAUGAAAAAUAUCUGUUAAAUGUGCUUGUGAUCUUAUCUCCAGUGACAACACAGCAGCCAGUUCUCAGUCCAAAUCCUUUCUUGCCGUGUUUUAGAAAUAGCUGGAAACAUUACAUGCUGACUAGCAAUGUAUGUACAUCAAAUAUAUAUAUAGUAUAUAUUUAUAUAUGCUAAAGGUAUUACUCUAAAAUUUUUCUGCUUUUGAAACAGAGAAAAAUUACAUAUGUAAAUAAAGACAAAGUAUUUAAUAAAGUGUUCCCUCAGUUUCUCUCAUUCUAACACUGUACUCUUGAG
rnacentral:lncRNA from 1 species